rnacentral:lncRNA from 1 species
CAGUCUUUCCAGGUCUGAAGGCCCAGGAAUUACCCAGGAUGGCACUAAGAUCAUCUGGAGUAUCUCCUUAUUGGAUUGAAUUCUUGCUCUCUAUACCUAGGGAUUUAUCAUCAGAGCAGGGAUUUUCUCAGAGUUAUUCAGCCUAGUGGUUAAACUGGGGAAUUAAAUUGUUUCCUGAUCCAACAUCCUAAAGGCAUUCCCUUGGAAAUGGUUUCACAACCAACCAACGUUCCAUGGCUGCCAUGUUGGAGACACCCACGGAGCCAGGAACUGAGAGUGGGCUCUGGGCAACAGCCUGCAAGGAACUUGAGGAUGCUAACAACCACAUGAACUUAGAAGUGCAGCCUUCCCCAGUCAAACCUUGAGAUGCCUACAGACCCUUGACCCCUUGCAUACAGCCUGUGAGAGACCCUGAAACAGAGGACCCAG